rnacentral:rRNA from 1 species
GACGAACGCUGGCGGCGUGCUUAACACAUGCAAGUCGUACGGUAAGGCCCUUUCGGGGGUACACGAGUGGCGAACGGGUGAGUAACACGUGAGUAACCUGCCCACAACUUUGGGAUAACGCUAGGAAACUGGUGCUAAUACUGGAUAUGUGCUCCUGCUGCAUGGUGGGGGUUGGAAAGCUCCGGCGGUUGUGGAUGGACUCGCGGCCUAUCAGCUUGUUGGUGGGGUAGUGGCCUACCAAGGCGGCGACGGGUAGCCGGCCUGAGAGGGGGACCGGCCACAUUGGGACUGAGAUACGGCCCAGACUCCUACGGGAGGCAGCAGGGGGGAAUAUUGCACAAUGGGCGCAAGCCUGAUGCAGCAACGCCGCGUGCGGGAUGACGGCCUUCGGGUUGUAAACCGCUUUCAGCAGGGACGAAGCUUUUUGUGACGGUACCUGCAGAAGAAGCACCGGCUAACUACGUG